CGAACGGGUGAGUAAUACAUAAGUAACCUGCCCUAGACAAGGGGAUAACUACUGGAAACGGUAGCUAAUACCGCAUAAUGUCGCAAGACCAAAGAGGGGGACCUUCGGGCCUCUUGCCAUCGGAUGUGCCCAGAUGAGAUUAGCUUGUUGGUGGGGUAACGGCUCACCAAGGCGACGAUCCCUAGCUGGUCUGAGAGGAUGACCAGCCACACUGGAACUGAGACACGGUCCAGACUCCUACGGGAGGCAGCAUG
rnacentral:rRNA from 1 species